rnacentral:rRNA from 1 species
UAGGGAAUCUUCCACAAUGGACGCAAGUCUGAUGGAGCAACGCCGCGUGAGUGAAGAAGGCUUUCGGGUCGUAAAACUCUGUUAUUGAAGAAGAACGUGUGUGACAGUAACUGGUCAUGCAGUGACGGUAUUCAAUCAGAAAGUCACGGCUAACUACGUGCCAGCAGCCGCGGUAAUACGUAGGUGGCGAGCGUUGUCCGGAUUUAUUGGGCGUAAAGCGAGUGCAGGCGGUCUUUUAAGUCUGAUGUGAAAGCCUUCGGCUUAACCGA